rnacentral:rRNA from 1 species
CACCACGACUCUCGGCAACGGAUAUCUCGGCUCUCGCAUCGAUGAAGAACGUAGCAAAAUGCGAUACCUGGUGUGAAUUGCAGAAUCCCGUGAACCAUCGAGUUUUUGAACGCAAGUUGCGCCCGAGGCCUUCUGGUCGAGGGCACGUCUGCCUGGGCGUCACGC